rfam:Oryza rufipogon genomic scaffold, chr08
AAUAAGUAUAGUUUUAGCACUGUUUACGUCUAACGUUUGACCGUUCGUCUUAUUUAAAAAAAAAUUAUGAUUAGCAUUUUUAUUGUUAUUACAUGAUAAAACAUGAGUAGUACUUUAUGUAUGACUAUUUUUUUUAAUUUUUUCAUAAAUUUUUCAAAUAAUACGAAUGGUCAAAACGUUAAACACGGAUAUUUAUAGUUGCACUUAUU